AUUGAACGCUGGCGGCAGGCCUAACACAUGCAAGUCGAGCGGAUGAAGGGAGCUUGCUCCUGGAUUCAGCGGCGGACGGGUGAGUAAUGCCUAGGAAUCUGCCUGGUCGUGGGGGAUAACGUCCGGAAACGGGCGCUAAUACCGCAUACGUCCUGAGUGAGAAAGUGGGGGAUCUUCGGACCUCACGCUAUCAGAUGAGCCUAGGUCGGAUUAGCUAGUUGGUGGGGUAAAGGCCUACCAAGGCGACGAUCCGUAACUGGUCUGAGAGGAUGAUCAGUCACACUGGAACUGAGACACGGGCCAGACUCCUACGGGAGGCAGCAGUGGGGAAUAUUGGACAAUGGGCGAAAGCCUGAUCCAGCCAUGCCGCGUGUGUGAAGAAGGUCUUCGGAUUGUAAAGCACUUUAAGUUGGGAGGAAGGGCAGUAAGUUAAUACCUUGCUGUUUUGACGUUACCAACAGAAUAAGCACCGGCUAACUUCGUG
rnacentral:rRNA from 1 species